rnacentral:rRNA from 1 species
UAGGGAAUCUUCGGCAAUGGACGAAAGUCUGACCGAGCAACGCCGCGUGAGUGAAGAAGGUUUUCGGAUCGUAAAACUCUGUUGUUAGAGAAGAACAAGGACGUUAGUAACUGAACGUCCCCUGACGGUAUCUAACCAGAAAGCCACGGCUAACUACGUGCCAGCAGCCGCGGUAAUACGUAGGUGGCAAGUGUUGUCCGGAUUUAUUGGGCGUAAAGCGAGCGCAGGCGGUUUCUUAAGCCUGAUGUGAAAGCCCCCGGCUCAACCGGGGAGGGUCCUUCGAAACUGGGACCCUUGAGUGCAGAAGAGGCGAGUGGAGUUCCAUGUGUAGCUGUGAUCUUCGUAGCUAUAUGGAGGAACACCAGUGGCUAAGGCGGCUCUCUGGUCUGUAACUGACGCUGAGGCUCGAAAGCGUGUGGAGCAAACAGG